rnacentral:sRNA from 12 species
GACGCUUAAUUCAGUAAAUUGGAACCCAGUGAAGAAGUGUUGACCGCACUGCUGGGGACACCUGAAGAGCAUCCGAAAUCUUGAUGGGAUACUUUCAAGUAUCGGGCGCAAAAUCGGUAACGAUUAGCGAUAGCGGAGAAACUCCAAAUGCUAAGGGUGGGCGCUAUUAUAUCUAGUUGUAAACGCACGAUUCCUUUCGGCGGGACAAUAGAAAGCCUGGUGAAUAGCUAGGCCGAAUCCAGAUAAGGGUUUAGCUGGUGACUGUAUCAAACUCUGGAAACACCAACAACUCGCUACUGUCGAUGAAAGCCAGAAAUGGCAUAUAAGAAAGGUUUACGGUACUCGCAGGUCAAGACAGCAAGUUCAAUGGAACAAUUCUAGAAAAGAAUUAUUGAUUGAUUAAUUGCUGAAUGGUUUGGCUCGGAGUUCAAGGUAAGCAGUCCUUGUCUAGCUAGGCGAAAGCAGGCAUAGAAAGUGAUUGGGUCGCUCCCAACGCUCAGCUCUAUGUUUCUAGGUUGCGGAAUAUGCGAUGGGGAUAUAAUAGUAAGGAGAAACACCUCAAAUUUAUUGAAUUAGGCG